CUCUCUCUCUCUCUCUCUCUCUCUCUCUCUCUCCCAGAACAUAAAAGCUACCAAAGGGUUAAAGAAGUGAUUCCCAAAGCCCAUCAUACUACAGACAGAGCUGAUAGAGUUGCAGAAACAUCGCUGCAGACUAAGGAGGCAGCCGCAGACCUUCUAGAUAUUUUGGACUAGACUAAGCCUGGCAGAAUUGCCUACAGCCUUCUUAUCCUGGUCGGUGUUGGUGUCCCUGUCAGGUUGAGCAGUGGGAAUCUACUUUAUAUGGACUUCAUUGCCCAACAGCAAACCGUGAGCUGGCCCAGCCUGUGAUGUAGAACUGACAGCUUCCUCUCCAGCACCAUGUGUGCCUGCAGGCCACCAUGCUCCCCACCAUGAUGAUAAUGGACUAAAGCUCUGAACUUGACAUUGGGUCCAAGUGAUGGACAUGCUACUUGCUGAUGAUAGAAACUUUAAAACCGUUUUCAAGGACUGGCGAGAUGGCUCAGCGGGUAAGAACACUGACUGCUCAUCAGAAGGUCCUGAAUUUGGAUCCCAGCAACCACAUGGUGGCUCACAACCA